AAUGAAACUGGUGACACUCGGGAAACGAUGCCGAAUGAGACAAUACCGGAAUCUUCACAAACUUCUGACGUAGAGAGACACACAGAGGCUGAAAACGCUCCGACCAAGUCGCAAUUGCCGGAGGCUAGCAUCGAGGAAGCGCCACCACAACAACAACAAGUACUAGCCUCGGAAACUAUCAUGCCUUCACCAUCAGAACCUGCUCGUAAAAAAAAAACGACAUAAUCCUAAGAAAACGCAGCCACAGGAAGAUCCGGCAGAUAUCAUGCUCUCAGAAGCCCUUGAAUGCUUGCAAAAGUCUUCGACCGACAUCAUCGAUCCAUACUCUUCAUUUGGAAGAUACAUAGCCAACGAGCUAAGGAAAUAUGAUCCGCACACAUUAGCGUAUGUUAAGAACGCUAUCAAUAAUAUAAUUUUUGAAGCCGAUAUAGGGAAAUACACACCACAACAAAUUAAUACAGGAUACUAUACACAGCAGUACAGUAAUUCCCCUACAAUGGACUCAUCUGGCACUUCAUCAUCAGCAUCACAUACCGCUACGUCUUCUCAUGCCAUUACACCAUCACCUAAUGCCAAUGAUGGAUUCGAAACUAUCACUGAAUUGUAGUUAAAAUAAACAAUUGAUUUUUAAA